rnacentral:tRNA from 1 species
GGAAGGGUGGCAGAGUGGUCGAUUGCACCGGUCUUGAAAACCGGCGAUGCGAAAGCAUCCGUGGGUUCGAAUCCCACCCCUUCCGCCA